rnacentral:lncRNA from 1 species
AUAUACUCUAGGGACUACUUAUUAAGUUAUUAUAUAUUGACAUAGUUUAUGUACUAAAUUGAAGUCAAUGUGAUAGUUUAAUUACUAAAUUGAUGAUUUCAUGAUACUAAAUGAGACUAAAACGGAACAAAAAAUAAGAUAUAAGCGAAUUGAGCUAUAGAUAUCUAAGCAAUUAUUCUUCAGCACAUGUUGCAUAAUGUCAACGCAGUAUCCUUAAACUGAUAAAAAGGACUUGUACAGUAUUAAUUAUAAGUUAUUUGAAAUUUAUAACAAAGUAAUAUGAAUGAUCAAUAACAAUAAGCUAGUAAUUAAAAUCAAUAUAAGAUUGGAUAAUCUACUGGAAUGCAAUAUAAGAUUGGAUGAUCUAGUGGAAUAAAUCAAUCAUUUCAAUGAAUACAUUUAUGAUUGAAAUUGAGAGUGGAUGUGUAGGUAACCCUAACCUGCUUCGCUGAAGUGAUACACAAAUUAUGCAUCGAGAGAUACAUGAAGGAUGAUAUCUUCAACUUAGAAGUAAGUAAAUCGGUGACUGCAUUGGAUAAAUUUCAAAGAUCGUGAAAAAAUCAAUGAACGAAAGAAAAGCGAUGGAACAAGAGUGAAAAUGUUGCGGUAACGUAACUUCCAAAAGGUACUUUUUAUGCUGGCCGUUGGAAAUUGUACUUUCAUUUCUUCUCCCACACUCCUCCUCAAUUGUUACAAAAAUGAAGCAACAUUUUGAUGUCUAGAAGGCAUGAAAUCAACAUUUCUUCCCCAACCAUAUUUCGGGAGAGGAGCGUUUGCCACAGCUCUCUACGUCUGGAACCGUGUGUUGCACUCUGCCUACCAAUCUUUCUCUCCCAAAAUUGUCAGCCAUUCCUAAAAACAACAAGGAAUUCAACAUUAACUUCAUUCAUGCAUUUUUUCAAACACUUGGUGCACAUAUACAACAAUGAAAUUCCUAAACACUAAUUCAAUUACACACUUCACAAAUUCAACCCAACAACUAUCACAUUACACAAACAAUGCAACAAUAACUUUGUGUUUGAGUUCUGUGCUUUAUGAUGUUUUUGUAAUUUUUAAGUUAGAUCUACAUAAUUUUAAGUGUCAGAUAUGCUAAUUUUUUCUCUUCAUCUUCAUGAAUUCUAGAAUUUUUUAUUUAAUUUUUCGGAUUUGUGAAUUUUGUUGAACUUUUGAGUCUUGGCAACCCGUUUCCACUGACCCGACCAACCCGAAAAAAAACUGAAAACCAAUCAAACCAAAUAAAUAAAUUGUCGAGAUUGGGCCAUAAUCCACCACCCACGGUUUGGACUAGAUUGAGGGUUUGGUCCUGAACCAAAAUUGACCCGGUCCCCAUAAAAUGAAGAGACUCCCCGUUGAUACAAGAUACUUCAAGUGGAGAGACACUAGUGACAUGUUUACUAUAAAAAAAAUUGCACAUUGGCUGAGAGAUGUAACGCCACUUGCUCUAAAGAGCCAAGUCGAAUAAAUUCAAAAUUUCACUCCAAGAGCCAAAUUGAUCCACCACAUAUUAAAAAUUCAAUCAACGCCUUUAUGUUUCGCCUUGAGUCACCAAAAUGACAAUAUUAUAGUACAUUUUACCCUAAUUAUUUUAUAGGAAAAAGGACACAAUGUCACCGUUGAACAAAAAAGAAAAAAGGACACUUCAUCAUAGGUCAGUGUCAAAAAAUUAUCAGAAACUUUAGUAACGAGACGGUUCCUCAACAGAAAUUAAUCAUCGAUAACAACGGUGGAAACUUUGUAUCUAUAACUAUAUCAUAAUAACCCAAAAAAUAAACAAUUGAGUCACACAUAAUGCCAUUUUCCACAAUUAUUAUAAAAAAAAUACAAAUACUCACAAUAGAAAAACAAAUUAAAAUAUGAUAAUAUAUACACACACCAAAACUCAAUAGAAAAAUUUGUGAUUCAAUUCUUAUGCCACAAUAUAUUACUCAAAUUCUAAAAGGCCUGUUAUAUGCCCACUACUUAAUUUGUGAUUCAAUUCAAGACAAUGAAACUGAAGGCAAUGCAGCUUCCAUUAAUAACGGUUGCUGCAUUAUCCAUGUUGGUAAAAGCAGUUGCAUCUGAUGAACCCCAACAAGUCCUACCAGGCUGCAAUUACACUUGUGGAGAUAUACAAAUUCCAUAUCCAUUUGGCAUAGGAAAUUCAACAACACUAGAUCAUACACCAUGUUACAUGGAUUCUAAAUAUGAGCUCACUUGUAAAAAGUCAAAAUUAAUCUAUGAUAAGACUAUCCAAGUCCUACACAUAAAUCCCCAAAGUCAAAUGGUAAUGAAAUUUUUCGUCUCACAUCUCUGUACUAGUGGCAGUAUUAGUAAUAGUACAAUUAAUUUCGAUGAAGCGAAUAAACCUCGUAUCAAAGUUUCUUCUUUCACAAUUUCAAGCACGGAAAACAAAUUCAUAACCGUUGGUUGCGACAGUAGUGGAUAUCUCAACAUGAAUUUCAAGGGUGAAACAUAUACAACAGGGUGCUCAACAAGCUGUCAUAAUUAUGAUCCUAAAAUGGUAAUUGGGAAUAACACUGGAAAAUGCACAGGUUUAGGGUGUUGCCAAGUUGAUAUUCCUCCGCUUAUGAGAUAUCUCACUAUACAAACAUUUAAAUUCCCAAGUUCUACAUCUCAGAAAGGUUGUAGCUAUUCCUUUAUUGCAAAACAAGGAUCCUAUAAUUUUUCUGUACAGCAUAUAAAUAAUCUAACAGAUCAAACUUUUCCCAUGGUUGUUAAUUGGGCCGUUACAAAUGAAUCAUGUCAAAUAGCACAAACUACAGGUAGCUAUGCCUGCAAGGAAAAUAGUGAAUGCGUUGAUAAUGAUCCAGAUUAUGACGGUUACAGAUGCAAGUGUUUGGAGGGUUUUGAAGGAAAUCCAUACCUUCCUGGAGGCUGCAGAGGUAACAGACAUAGCAUAAUUGUAUACUAUUGUUUUUGUACUUUAAUUAAUUGAUUGUGCUUCAUAUUUUCAAUGUUUUAUUGAGUUUGCUUCCUCUAAAUGUUGAGUAUGAAACACAUUUUAAAUGUGGUUGGUCACACUAAGAUUUUAGAUAGUGUGAUUCAUCAUAGUGAAUUAGGAUUCAUUGAAUUAGGAUUCAUCAUAAGACAGGGAUGAAUUGUAGGAUACUAACAACAACCAUGGUUUUAUUGGGUUUCAGACGUCGAUGAAUGUGUAAAAAAUUUACAUGAAUGCAAAAAUAGCACAAAUUGUAAAAACACAGCUGGGAAUUACACUUGUUUCUGUCCUGUGGGCCAAAUGGGAGAUGGGACAAAGGAAGGAGGGUGCCAACUACAUGAUGGAAAUGCAUUUGGAAUAGUACCUACUUUGUUCAGUAAGCAGAAAAACACAACUAAUUUUAUUCUAUUGACAUUUUCCUUUUCAAAUCUAAUGUGUUCAUCAAAUAUAUAUAUAUGUUACUGAUAUUAGUUUGGGGACAUUCCAAAAAUUGGGUGCAGGAGGAGUAGGAGCAGCAUUAGUACAUACUGCCCUUGGUAAGCAGCAAAACACGCCUAAUUUUGUUUUUCAAAUCUAAUGUGUUCAUUAAAUAUAUAUGUUACUGAUAUUAAUUUGGGGUACAUUCCAAAAAUUGGGUUCAAUAUAUUUUGGAUGCAGGAAUAGGAGCAACAUGUAUUGUUGUUUUUGUGGGGCAGAUGAUAAUCUCCAAAUUGAAAGAGAAAUUCUUUAGGCAGAAUCAAGGUUCUAUUUUGGAACAGAAACUACUUCAAAGAAAAGACUCGUCUAAAAUAGCUAAUAUUUUCAAGGAAAAUGAACUAAGGAAAGCCACUAACAACUAUGAUGAGAGCUUAAUCAUAGGUAGAGGAAGUUUUGGUACAGUUUUCAAAGGGGUACUAGAAGAUAACAGAAUUGUUGCUAUCAAAAAGUCCAAAACAAUAGAUCAAAGCCAAAUUGAUCAAUUCAUUAAUGAGGUGGAUGUUGUGUCCCAAAUAAAUCACAGGAAUGUGGUUAAACUCUUGGGGUGUUGUCUAGAAACAGAAGUUCCUUUGUUGGUUUAUGAAUUUGUUAGCAACGGUACUCUUUCUGAUUUUAUACACAAAAAUAAAGCGAAUAAUCCAACUUGGGAAAUUCGUCUUAAGAUAGCAACAGAGGUAGCUGGAGCUUUGUCAUAUCUACAUUCAGCUGCUUCGAUGCCCAUUAUCCACAGAGAUGUCAAGAGUGCUAACAUUCUCUUAGAUGGAACCAACACUGCCAAAGUAUCUGAUUUUGGAGCUUCAAAAUUAGUACCACUUGACCAAUCUGAAAUAUCCACAAAGGUGCAAGGAACUAUUGGCUACUUAGAUCCAGAAUAUAUGCAAACAAGCCAAUUGACUGAAAAAAGUGAUGUAUAUAGCUUUGGGGUAGUUGUUGUGGAGCUUCUAACAGGGGAGAGACCUUUUAGUAUUGCUAGGCCAGAAGAGACAAGAAAUCUUGCUAAGCAUUUUCUUUCCUGCUUGAAAAAGGAUAAUGUGUUUGAAAUUAUUCAAGAUGGUAUGUUGAAUGAAGAAAACAAACAAGAGAUCAAGGAGGUAGCUGUUCUUGCGGCAAAGUGUUUGAGACUAAAAGGGGAGAAAAGACCAAGCAUGAAGGAAGUGGCUAUGGAAUUGGAGGGAAUGAGGUUAAUGGAGAAGCACUCUUCGACCAACGAAGACCUAAAUGAAUCAUUAUCUAACAUUUAUGAACUUGGUGAGAGCAGCAAGCAUGGAGAUAUUGGAGGAUAGAAGAUGAUUGGGAUGUGAAAAAAUGCAGUUCCAUUUCGUUGUUUUAGAAGUUUUUUCAUGCAUAUUUUAUUUUAUAUGAUAAUCCAAAUCAUUUUGUAAUUGUAAUGUAAUUUGUUUAUAUAACUAAUGUAUUGUGUGCAUGGCUAUCCUGUUUUUUAAUUUUGUGGUUUUUAGUGUGGUGUGUAUUCCUUAUUUCUUGUUUUCAUAGGUUUUGUUGGACCUGUGUACUCCUUAUCUCUUUGGCCCUAGAAUAAUAUCCUGUUGUUUUGGAUAGUAGUUUUUUAGUGGCUUUGAGUGUUUGUAAUCCUUCUAGCAUUCCUUUUAACUUCUUCUCUGGGGCUUCGCCUCCUAGCUGUUAACUAAGAUUUAUAUAUUAUGAUGUAAAGGUAGAGAUGGAAGUGUUCUAUUGUAAAGAAUAGUUGUUUUCAAGUACAUCAAUUUUAAGGACCUUUUAGACCGAUAUAAUUAACAGGUUUUCGGUCGAUUGAACCCUAGACGGACCUCUUGCAUAUAACUCCUUCGGUAUCCCAACCCAAACUAUUGGACUACUCUUUUGGGGUAAAGUUUCUAGUCCAAUUGCUAAAUUUGGUUAGUUUGGUUUUGAUUGUACAAAUUGAGAAGAGAUUUGAAUUCACAGAUUGUGAUCUCGUAUUUCACAUGAGUAAAAAUAGGUGUUAUGAUCUCAUAUUUCACGAGUUGUUUCCUAAAAAAAAAAAUGUCGUGAGAGAUCCAAAUAUUUCACAAUAUCAGCAAAGCAAAGAUACUCACUUCAGCCACUAAGGCUGUUAGGAUUUUCGAAGCAUUGUUUUGAAAUCACCUUGGUAAUCAAGUCAUGGUGAUAGAAUAAUCAAGGAAGAAAAAGCAAAAUAAAUAACAUGUAAUUUAGCAAAGAAGAAAUGUUCUUAUAAGAAUACCACUCUUUAAAUUCUAUGGCCAAAGAAUGAUCAUACAAUAAUAAUUACCUUAGAAGAAUGAUAAUUAUGAUGCAUCAUUGAAAUACUUCCUGUCAUAAAUCCUUCAAAAAGCUUGAACAUGGGAUUCCAGUCAUUUAUGAUAAAUAUCGUUGACUAACCGGACUAAGAGUCAUGUAGUAAAGAAGUCCAAUCCCAAUUGGAUCUGGAUUACCUGCAGUAACGCGGUAAAAGAUCACAAUCACUGAUUUUAAAUCGGACGGUACAGAUCACACAUCAGUAAAGUUAUGUAAAAGUGAUCUCAGACGGUCCCGAUAUGUUACAGCGUCCUGCUGUAUUAGUGGGAAACCCAAAUCCCAAUCAUGAAAUAUUUUUGCCUAAAUUGCACAUUUGACCCCUUAAUUUAUUUUGUGGUUUCACUUUGGUCCAUAACUAUGUUUUGUUCCCUUUUUUUUCCAUUUCUUCAAUUAAAAUUGAAUAAACCAUCAAUUUAGUCCAUAAAUUGUCACUCUCUCUCUCUCCAAUUUAGUCCUUAAACUAUUUAAAUAUAAUAAAUCGUCCAUAAACUAUAUGAAAUUUGUCAAUUUAGUCCCCAAAGUAUAUUAAAAAAGCGGUCAACUCAGUCCCUCACAUCACAUCUUCAUAGAAAAGACUAAAUUGACGGAUUUUAUAUAGUUUACGGACUACUUAUCAUAUAUUUACAUAGUUUAUGGCCUAAAUUGAUGGUUUUAGGGGACCGAAACGGAACAAAAAAUAAGUUAUAAGCUAAAUAAGCUAUGAAUAUCUAGGAAAUUAUUCUUCAGCACAAGUUGCAGAGUGUCAAUGCAGCUCCCUAAACAGGUAUGAUAUGAAUGAUCAGUGUGAAAUGUGAAUAAGCUAGUAAUUAUAAAAGCAAUAUAAAACUGGAUGAUCUAGUAGAAUAAAUCAAUAAUUUGAAUGGAUGCAUUUAUGAUUGAAAUUGAGAGUGGAUGUGUAUGUAACCCUAACCUGCUUCAGUGGAGUGAUACGCAAAUUAUGCAACAUCGAGAGAUACAUGAAGGAUGAAAUCUUCAACUGAGAAGCAAAUCGGUGAUUGCUUUGGAUAAAUUUCAAAGAUCGUGAAAAAACCGAUUAAGAAAAGCGAUGAACAAGAGCGAAAAUGUGCGGGAACGUUCUUUUACAUAGGGGGGUCGAUAUCGAUGGAUGGAAUGAAUUUGGAUUUGGA